GCGGCGUGCCUAACACAUGCAAGUCAGGGAGAAAGGAGUAGCAAUACUCCGAGUAAACCGGCGAACGGGUGAGUAACACGUAGGCAACCUUCCUCACGAACGGGGAUAACUCCGGGAAACCGAAGCUAAUACCCGAUGACAUCCCAGGGGAGCAUUUCCCAGGGAUCAAAGGCCCGCAAGGGUGUCGUGAGAUGGGCCUGCGUCCCAUUAGAUAGUUGGCGGGGUAAAAGCCCACCAAGUCCGCGAUGGGUAGCUGGUCUGAGAGGACGACCAGUCACACUGGAACUGAGACACGGUCCAGACUUCUACGGAAGGCAGCAGUGAGGAAUAUUGCUCAAUGGGCGAAAGCCUGAAGCAGCGACGCCGCGUGAAGGAUGAAAUCCGUUAGGAUGUAAACUUCUUUUGCAGGGGAAGAGCACCCCGAUUUUCGGGAUUGACGGUACCUUGCGAAUAAGCACCGGCCAACUACGUGCCAGCAGCCGCGGUAAUACGUAGGGUGCGAGCGUUGUCCGGAAUUACUGGGUGUAAAGGGUCCGUAGGCGGGCGAGCAAGUCGGUGGUGAAAGUUCACGGCCCAACCGUGAAAUUGCCAUCGAUACUACUUGUCUUGAGUCCGAGAGAGGAUGAUGGAAUUCAUGGUGUAGCAGUGAAAUGCGUAGAGAUCAUGAAGAACACCAGUAGCGAAGGCGGUCAUCUGGCUC
rnacentral:rRNA from 1 species